AUGAACGCUGGCGGCGUGCCUAAUACAUGCAAGUCGAGCGAACAGAUGAGGAGCUUGCUCCUCUGACGUUAGCGGCGGACGGGUGAGUAACACGUGGAUAACCUACCUAUAAGACUGGGAUAACUUCGGGAAACCGGAGCUAAUACCGGAUAAUAUAUUGAACCGCAUGGUUCAAUAGUGAAAGACGGUUUUGCUGUCACUUAUAGAUGGAUCCGCGCCGCAUUAGCUAGUUGGUAAGGUAACGGCUUACCAAGGCAACGAUGCGUAGCCGACCUGAGAGGGUGAUCGGCCACACUGGAACUGAGACACGGUCCAGACUCCUACGGGAGGCAGCAGUAGGGAAUCUUCCGCAAUGGGCGAAAGCCUGACGGAGCAACGCCGCGUGAGUGAUGAAGGUCUUCGGAUCGUAAAACUCUGUUAUUAGGGAAGAACAAAUGUGUAAGUAACUAUGCACGUCUUGACGGUACCUAAUCAGAAAGCCACGGCUAAUUACGUG
rnacentral:rRNA from 1 species